UACGGGGGGGGUAAGCGUUGUUCGGAAUUACUGGGCGUAAAGGGCUCGUAGGCGGCCAACUAAGUCAGACGUGAAAUCCCUCAGCUUAACUGGGGAACUGCGUCUGAUACUGGAUGGCUUGGAUCCGGAAGAGGGAUGCGGAAUUCCAGGUGUAGCGGUGAAAUGCGUAGAUAUCUGGAGGAACACCGGCGGCGAAGGCGACAUCCUGGACCAACACUGACGCUGAGGAGCGAAAGCCAGGGGAGCAAACGGG
rnacentral:rRNA from 1 species